AAUUGAACGAGUAGCAUUUUCUGAGAUCAUUCAGUCAGUUUGGCAAAAUGUCGUCAAACAGGCAGUUGCUGCAUCGACCGUUUUGGAUAUAAAAAAGCUGCCUCGAAAAAUCGGCGAAGGUGGCAUGCAAAAUCCCAUGCAGAAAAACUUCUUGAAGGCAGAGUUGAAAACGAAUGCAUUGCUUGGUGCGUUGGCAAUCAUUCUUCAUUGGUUGGACUACAACUGGAUUUUGAAGAUUCUGCCAGAGAAGAUAAAUUGUUCGUCAAAUUUUCAAUAUGUCGAGGAAAAAUGUUACCGUCUUUUCAACUUAAUUGAUAUAAAGAUGUUCAAGGUUCAAGGUUCCGUUACAAUUCAAACACGCUUUUUUAGUCAAGCUGAUGCAUUUUCUCUGUUAUUUGUGC